rnacentral:rRNA from 1 species
UACGUAGGGUGCGAGCGUUGUCCGGAAUUAUUGGGCGUAAAGGGCUCGUAGGCGGUUUGUCGCGUCGGGAGUGAAAACCAGGUGCUUAACACCUGGCUUGCUUUCGAUACGGGCAGACUAGAGGUAUUCAGGGGAGAACGGAAUUCCUGGUGUAGCGGUGAAAUGCGCAGAUAUCAGGAGGAACACCGGUGGCGAAGGCGGUUCUCUGGGAAUAUCCUGACGCUGAGGAGCGAAAGUGUGGGGAGCGAACAGG